AAAUGAAUUGACGGGGGCCCGCACAAGCGGCGGAGCAUGCGGAUUAAUUCGAUGCAACGCGAAGAACCUUACCUGGGUUUGACAUCGCCGGUAAUCCUCCAGAGAUGGGGGGUCCCUUCGGGGGCCGGUGACAGGUGGUGCAUGGCUGUCGUCAGCUCGUGUCGUGAGAUGUUGGGUUAAGUCCCGCAACGAGCGCAACCCUUGUCCUAUGUUGCCAGCGGGUAAUGCCGGGGACUCAUGGGAGACUGCCGGGGUCAACUCGGAGGAAGGUGGGGACGACGUCAAGUCAUCAUGCCCCUUAUGUCCAGGGCUUCUCGCAUGCUACAAUGGCCGGUACAGAGGGCUGCGAAGCCGUGAGGUGGAGCGAAUCUCUUAAAGCCGGUCUCAGUUCGGAUCGGGGUCUGCAACUCGACCCCGUGAAGUCGGAGUCGCUAGUAAUCGCAGAUCAGCAACGCUGCGGUGAAUACGUUCCCGGGCCUUGUACACACCGCCCGU
rnacentral:rRNA from 1 species